rnacentral:rRNA from 1 species
UUUAGUUGAAUUAAAAUUUAGAGAGUAGGUCUUAACGGUCUGAAAACCAUUUGACAUGGCGGUUUCUUUUCCCCAUCAGAGGGAUGUGUUUUGAAAGCGAAAUCCCACGGUUAUCUUUCUUAAUUUAGAACAACUCAUUCUGUUCACUGCCGUCUGGAAGGGUUUAAAAUGACAAUUUUUUAAAUCCCUAUCCCUUUUCAGGGGAUAAGUCAGGUUAAGUGCAAACCAUAAUUAAGAAAAAAUGCAUUUCACUAUCAAGGUGAAAGGAAAUUUGAAAAGUUUUCUUAAAAAGAAUUUGAAAGUAAAUCAAUUUUAUCAUAAUUGCUUGAACUAGGAAAUAAGAAAUGC